rnacentral:misc_RNA from 1 species
UCUCCGUUGGUGAACCAGCGGAGGGAUCAUUGCUGGAACAAACGCCCUCACGGGUGCUACCCAGAAACCCUUUGUGAACUUAUACCUUACUGUUGCCUCGGCGCAUGCUGGCCCCCUCGGGGUCCCUUGGAGACAAGGAGCAGGCACGCCGGCGGCCAAGUUAACUCUUGUUUUUACACUGAAACUCUGAGAAAAAACACAAAUGAAUCAAAACUUUCAACAACGGAUCUCUUGGUUCUGGCAUCGAUGAAGAACGCAGC